UACGGAGGGUGCGAGCGUUAAUCGGAAUUACUGGGCGUAAAGCGCAUGCAGGUGGUUUGUUAAGUCAGAUGUGAAAGCCCGGGGCUCAACCUCGGAAUAGCAUUUGAAACUGGCAGACUAGAGUCUUGGAGAGGGGAGUGGAAUUCCAGGUGUAGCGGUGAAAUGCGCAGAUAUCUGGAGGAACAUCAGUGGCGAAGGCAGCCACCUGGGUCAACACUGACGCUCAUGUACGAAAGCGUGGGGAGCAAACAGG
rnacentral:rRNA from 1 species